rnacentral:rRNA from 1 species
UGGCGGACGGGUGAGUAAUGUCUGGGAAACUGCCCGAUGGAGGGGGAUAACUACUGGAAACGGUAGCUAAUACCGCAUAACGUCGCAAGACCAAAGAGGGGGACCUUAGGGCCUCUUGCCAUCGGAUGUGCCCAGAUGGGAUUAGCUAGUAGGUGGGGUAACGGCUCACCUAGGCGACGAUCCCUAGCUGGUCUGAGGGGAUGACCAGCCACACUGGAACUGAGACACGGUCCAG